CUUAUUUUUGUGCCACAAGCCUAGGACACUGAUAGGGCCGCGUCAAAUUUGUUGCCUUUGAGUUCUGUGCACUUCCAGGACUAAGUAGCUCUGAGUAGGACAGUGUUCCCGUGACUGAUGAAGAGGAGAUGGUGAAAUCAUUGUGAACUCAAUGAUUCUCUUUGUUAAAUAGUUGAAGCAUAAAAUCAGCCAGGGUAAGCGUAUUUAUACCCCAGAAGCUGUCUCUGAACUAUUUGUGUCUAGCAUGGAAUGGAAUAGAAAGUGUACAACAAGCUGAGUCUUCUGAUGACUCUGCCUCUUCCUCUUUGCCUUCGAGUCCUUCUCCACUGGCACGGAUUCUAGUGCUUCCCAUAGUCUUUCUCUGACAGGCCUUCUCUACAUGUCAGCAGACCCUCAUGUGGCCAGAGGAAAUCAAUCACCUUCGGAGAAGUCUUUGUAACUUGCAUUGCCUGAUCUUUCCGGAUACCUGCUGGAGAAAUCUCAAACACGUCAUAUCCAAGUCUUCAAACAUCUGACUAUGGAAACUGUAUCUCCUCUACUUGGAAGAACCAGUCAGGAGCAAGAGGCUACCCACCCCAUCCCCAGAUAAUAGCUACAGAUGAUUAUAAACAUUGAAACUUCACAGCGAUGAAUUUUUCUGGCACUGGAUUUUUGAUGAUGUUGUUCUUGGCUGACUGGUUCUGUGAUCCCUCAGAGUGCAGGGAAAGUCCAUCAGAAAUGCCUCUCAUGGGAUAAAAGAAAAAAAGAAGAGGAAGAGGAGAAGGAAGAAGGAAGAAGAAAAAAGAAAGAAAGAAGGAAAAAGAGAGAAGAGAGAGAGAGAAGGAGGGAGAGAAGAAGACGGAGAAGGAGAAGCAGCAGCAGCAGUCACCACCUAGAUGUCUAGAUGUCCAGGCUCCAGUUUCUUCUCGAAUAAAACCGCACUUCCUCUGUGGCCUCUCGGCUCCGUCCUGCUGUGCGUGCAGGAGCGGGAAUGGUUUGCCACCUGUACUCUUCUCAACACUGCUCACAGCCAUCCGACAUUGGAUCCUUGAGGAUCAAGUUCCCCUCCACUUUUCACAGGUUAGGAGCCAAAGGCUAAGAGAGGCAGAUGGCUGCCCAGGAGUGGCAAAGGAGGCUUAGCCAUGAACCUCUGAAUAUCGGGUAGCAAUCCCUUCAGUCCUCUUGCCCAUGGGAACUUCCUCUUACACCUUCACCACUGGUCAACCCAGUUCCUCCUCCCCUGUAGGAGUCUUUUCCUUUCACACUGCCUGUUCCUCGCUUUGAAGUUACAGACACGAGACUGUGGCUACCUGUGUCUUGGUUUUCCUUCACAUUCUCCAUGCUGACUUUUCUUAUAAAAGUACUUCAUUCUAGGCCAGAGAUUCCCCCAAAUUCCUCCCAAUAAAGAAUGAUACUCUCUAACAUAUAAUGAUGGGGCCUUCAAGGUGGUCUUAGACCUCUGUCCCUGGUACUAGCAAUUACUCAGAAGAUAAAACUUGCUUGUCAAACAAACAAACAAACCAACAACAAGUGGAAAUUGAGUGGGAACAUGGCUCAGUUGGUAAAGUGUUGGCUGUGCUGAUUUUUCAUACCCAGCCCCCCAUACAAAAACUAGGGUCUGGUGGCAUGAGCCUAAAAUCUCACUACUGCAGGAGGUUGAGACUGGUAGAUCCCAGGGCUAGCUGGCCCGUGUAGCCAAGCAGGGGGAUUCAGGCUCAGCGAGAGACGCUGCCUCAAAAAACAAGGUGGGAGGUAGACAUCAACUGAUAAAGGUACCCAAGGCCAACCGCUGGCCUCCACAUACAUCCACACAUGUAUGUGCACACACAUGAACAAAGAGACACAA